GGGGUAAAAUUAAUAAAUUAAUUUUAAUAAAAAAAUUUUUAAUAAAAUAUUUUAAAGGGGGGGUUAAAGUAUAUUUAUAGAAAAAAUAAAUUAAUUUAUAGUUAAAUAGUAUUGUAAAAGAAUUUUGAAAUAAUUGAAAUUAAAUUUUUUUAAAAGUAAUUUUUAUUUAAUGUAUCUUGGGUAUCAGAGUUUAUUAAAAAAAAAUUAUUAAAUAAAAAAUUCUCGAAUUUAAAAGAGAUAAUUAAUUAAUAAAGUUAUUGUAGCAUAAAUAUUUUAAAUAAUUAAUUGGAAAUGAAAUGUUAAUCGUUUUUAAAUAUAUCUAGUUUUUUUAGAAAAAAAUUUAAUUUUAUAUUAUUUAAAAAAAAAAUUAAUUAAUUAAUUUUUUUUUUAAAUAAUAAUAUAUUUUAAGGGAUAAGCUUUAAUUUAAAUUUAUAUAAAUAAAUUGAAAAAUUAAAUUGAAAAUUUUAUAAUUUAUAUUGUUAAAAAAAUUUAAUUUAUUAUAAAUAAUUUCAUUUAAAAUAAAAUUUAAUAAAAUUUUAUAUGGUUUAUAAAAAAAAAAUUUUUAAUAAAAUAAAAUUUGAUAUAAUGAUAAAAUUAGUAUAUAAUAAAAUAUAUAAAUGAAUAAUUUAGUAUAAAUAAUUAAUUAAAAGGAAUUCGGCAAAAAUUUAUAUUCACUUGUUUAUCAAAAACAUGUCUUUUUGAAAAUAAUAUAAAGUCUAAUCUGCCCACUGAUAUAAUAUUAAAGGGCUGCAGUAUAUUGACUGUACAAAGGUAGCAUAAUCAUUAGUCAUUUAAUUGAUGACUUGUAUGAAAGAUUGGAUGAAAUAUAAACUGUCUCUUAAUUAAAUAUAGAAUUUAAUUUUUAAAUUAAAAAGUUUAAAUAAUUUAAAAAGACGAGAAGACCCUAUAGAGUUUUAUAAAUUUAAUGAUUAAGAUUAUUUAUUAAAAAAAAAAAUUAAAAUUAAUAAAUUUAUUUUGUUGGGGUGACAAAAAAAUAUAAAAAACUUUUUUUAAAAUAAAACAUAUAUAAAUGAUUAAAUGAUCCAUUAUUAUUGAUUAUAAGAAAAAAUUACCUUAGGGAUAACAGCGUAAUUUUUUUUUUUAGUUCUUAUAAAAAGAAAAGUUUGCGACCUCGAUGUUGGAUUAAGAUAAAAUUUAAAUGCAGUAGUUUAAAAUUUUUGAUCUGUUCGAUCAUUAAAAUCUUACAUGAUCUGAGUUCAAACCGGUGUAAGCCAGGUUGGUUUCUAUCUUUUAAAAAAUAAAAUAUUUUAGUACGAAAGGAUUAAAUAUUUAAAUUAAAUUUUUUAUUUUGAAUUUUAUUAAAGAUAAUUUAUAAAUUUAUAAUAAAUAAAUUAUAUAUAUAUAUAUAUAUAUAUAUAUUU
rnacentral:rRNA from 1 species